UACGGGGGGGGCAAGCGUUGUUCGGAAUUACUGGGCGUAAAGGGCGCGUAGGCGGCCUGCUAAGUCACACGUGAAAUCCCUCGGCUCAACCGGGGAACUGCGUGUGAUACUGGCGGGCUUGAAUUCGGGAGAGGGAUGUGGAAUUCCAGGUGUAGCGGUGAAAUGCGUAGAUAUCGGGAGGAACACCGGUGGCGAAGGCGGUUCUCUGGGCCUGUACUGACGCUGAGGAGCGAAAGCGUGGGGAGCGAACAGG
rnacentral:rRNA from 1 species